CCGGGGACCGCGGCCGUGGCUCGGGUCCCGGGCCUCGGACACCUAGGACCUGCGGCCCCGACGCCCUGGCGGUGUCAGGCGCCCGCACCCCUUCCGAGUCCCGGGAAGAGGAGGUGUUUCCCAAGGAGCUAGCGCCCGCGCGUACUCGGGGGCCGGGGACGAGCGGCCCUGGCCCUGUCCUGCGCCCACCCCCACGCCCCGGGGCUCCGGGCCUUGCCUCAGAACCGCGUCCAAGCACCCGACGGCGGGUGGCUAGCGCGGGGGGUGCCUCGAUCUGCGGCCCGCACGCGGGCGGCCUCCCAGGUACGGGCUGGCGAGAGGAUGCCGCAAGGCGAUGAGCACCUGGAGACCGGCCAGCGUCCUCCGCCGGCCAAACCUGGUUUUGUUCCCCGCGGCCUUUCUUGGAACGCGUUAUUUGGUGGCACUGUCCCAUUACGGAAUAUACCUGCAUGGACCUCCCCUCCCUAACCCCGGCUGCGAGUCUGGGGUUUUCUGCACCGCUUGGGAAGAUCAAAGUUUUGUUUAUAGUAUUCUUCCUUCUUGAGUGGAAAUUGUUUCCUCCAGGCGAAACAGGAAGCGAGGUGUAGGGGGGAAAGCGCCUCCGUUCACGAAAUCCACUCUGCCGGGCAGUGCCAAGAGCCGACUGGCACCUCCCCACCCCCUCGCCCCUCAAUACUCCCCUCGUAUCCAGCACCUACUGCAAGCCUGACAUUUUGCAGGGCAGCCCGGAGAGCCCGGCAGUCUGUGGGUCUCGCCGACCGGACGGCUGGGCGUCCCAGGCUGCGCCCAGGUCCGCAAGCCCCACAACUCCGAGUCCACGCCCAGUCCUUUCCAGUACCCACUCUCAUUCCGCCCCCGCGCUUUCGAAACGGCGUCGGACCCGCUCGAGAGCUUUCCAUGUCUCUUGUGUGGAAAGUGAGUUGCUGUUCCGAGCCAAAGGAGGCCUAUGAACACUGCGGACAGGCCUCGGCUAGCUUAGGUGAAGCGCAGGGCCCUCCGCGUGGGGCCCUAACUCCGGUCUGGGAUUUCUCGGUGCUUCCGGCCAGGCAGGGACCGGGGCUGAUAAAGUGACUGACAAGUGGCUGAGCCCAUCAGCAAGAGUGAGCCCAAACCAGCAAAUAAAACGGCCAGCACGGGCUGAGUCGGCACUAAAUUGCCACCCCCGAAUGACUUUAGCUACUGGAGUGCCGUGACGUGAAUGACGCGGGAUGCAGGCCGAGCCCUGGAGCCGUCCCGGAGGCCCCGGAGGUGGCGGGCGGUGAGGGCGUCCCCAGCAGCCGGAGGAGAGGAACCUUUCCGAGCGCCGGGGCUUUUCUGGCCUGGGAGGGAGGGACUAACUCUGCAGCUCCGACCGGGGAGAGGCAACGUGCGCAGAAAACUGAAGUCUAAAGGGCUCUAGCUAGCUUCUUCUCUGGAAGCCGGCUUGUCGCCUUGUUGUCUCUAAUGUAGGGCCUGAGUCACGGCAGCUGCUGAUUGACAGACCUGCUUGGCCGCACUCACCAUCUGGAGGUGGAUUAGGGAUGUCCCUUCGACCUAUAGAGAACACAUGGCACAGCAUUAAAUUCUGCUCUGCCCCAGCAGCACCCAUCCCAGAUGAAAUUGCAGAGGCAACAGGCCCUGGAGCCCCGGGGCCCACAUCUGACUGCCUGAAGGAAUAAGGGGCUCCUGAGGUUACUCGCAUCCAUUAUAUGUGUGUGGUGGAAAUACAACACCAUGACGUGCUCCAGUGCCUGUCUUUGCAACUCUGCAGUCGGUGGCCUCACCUUGGUAACUUAAAAUAGGCCAUGGUGUGAGUGUUCACACCACGGAAACCAGCAGAUGCUACAAACCAGGGCUGGGUUUUGAGAAGGCUGGUUGUUAAAUAGUUAGCAGCAGCACACCAUUGCCUAUUGAUACAUUUUAUGUUUUUAGGCACUUUGACACUUUUAAGGUUAUUAACUUUGUUUUUGCACCCUACUCUCACAUUUCUAAUAUUCCGUAGUACAUCUGAAUAUCUCAUUUCAAUCCAAGUAGCAAACUCUCCAACAGUGUAGGCUGACGGUGGGCUCCACCUUCUGUUAUUUGAAGCUUUCCUAUAUACUCAGCUCAGCUCCAUCCCUAUGCUAACAGCAGAGCCAGGCAGGGGAGAAGACCAUGGAAUAUUGCUCUAUAUAGUUCCCAUAAAUACACUGUAAUCAAAUACAAUCAUCUGCAUCAUCUUUUUCUUCCUGAUGCAAGUCUGGGGUGAAAGAAAGAACAUGUUUUAGUAUUAUGUGAUGUCCAGAUUCCUUUUUUUCCUCCUUUCACUUGCUGUGUGAUUUGGAAAAGCUACUUAAUCCUUAUGAGUUGUAGUUGCCUUAUUAGGAAACCAAGACGCUUAAUAAAUAUGGUUAUUAUUCCAAUGUUUGAAUGGAAAAAGUACUAAGAGAGUACAGGGGGAAAACGACACACAGAGUGAUAAAAUUUAACCUCUUCCAUCAGGGAGAAUAAAGUAGAACUUGGUGGUGGUUGGGUUUUUCUUUCACCUGAAUAGGGCUCUGUUUAGGAACAUAAACCCCGAGUCAGUGCGUGGAGAUGGUCAAAGCCAUCUUGCUGUGGUUUUUCUUUUUAACAUGCUAAAUCUUCCUGUUUUCUUUAGAGCUUCUUGUAUUAUACUUGAUUUGUCCCUUCAUAAGCCUUGUGAUAGUGGUUUCAUUUUUACCAUGUACACUGGAUUAUCCCACUGCAAAUCUCCCUGGGGUUCUUGGAAAAAUAUCUAAAACUGAUAAGAAACAGGACAUUUUUAAGGAAAAACCCAACUAAGAAAUCAUUGAAUGCUUACACAGUUUGUAGAGGUUUUCAGAAGGUCUUAACUGCCUCUUUGGAAAGGUCAAUCAAAAGGCCUAUUUUAUGUCUCAGGGAACUGCAUGGAGUAUUUAUCUUUUUAGAACACUGAGACAGACUGGCAUAAGCCUAAUUUUUGAUGUCUUGGAGGCCUGAGCUAUGAGACUUAUCAGGCAGGUUUCUCUUUUUCUAACUCAGCUGGGUUGCCAGGGACCAAACAGAAGUGGCUUGGUCCAGGAAGAAAAUGUGCUCCAUCCAGAAGGGUGAGAUCACACUGUUCCCAGAUAUGGGUCUUCAACUAGAGGCUAGUUUCCUUUGCCUUGCAGCCCCAGGGGAAGCAUUUCUGCCCAUAAGAAGGCAGCCUUCCUGUGGCUUGGUGGCAGCAGCAUUUCCAGAGGGGUGAGCAAAAGCCAGUGACAGAUGUCUCCGAGAGGGAGUAACACACAGGAAAGAAACAUGGCACAGCAAUCUCCCUUCCCUCUUGCCUUUUCAAAGGAUCUUUUCUUUCUUCUUUCUUCCUUUCCUUUUCUAAAUAAAAGAAGAUAUUAGUUAAUAUUAAGUGUGGCAAGAAGGGAAACAAGUAUGUCUGCAGCCGUGACUAUGUGUCUGAAUGUGUAGGCUUGUUAGGAUCUAAGUUCAUAGAAUGAAAUAUUAAAGUUGGCUUCACAGGACACCUGGGUGGCUCAGUGGCUGAGCAUAUGCCUUUGGCUCAGGGCGUGAUCCCAGGGUCCUGGGUCCUGGGAUUGAGUCGUGCA